AGCGGUAGCACAGAGAGCUUGCUCCUCGGGUGACGAGCGGCGGACGGGUGAGUAAUGUCUGGGAAACUGCCUGAUGGAGGGGGAUAACUACUGGAAACGGUAGCUAAUACCGCAUAAYGUCGCAAGACCAAAGUGGGGGACCUUCGGGCCUCAUGCCAUCAGAUGUGCCCAGAUGGGAUUAGCUAGUAGGUGGGGUAACGGCUCACCUAGGCGACGAUCCCUAGCUGGUCUGAGAGGAUGACCAGCCACACUGGAACUGAGACACGGUCCAGACUCCUACGGGAGGCAGCAGUGGGGAAUAUUGCACAAUGGGCGCAAGCCUGAUGCAGCCAUGCCGCGUGUGUGAAGAAGGCCUUCGGGUUGUAAAGCACUUUCAGCGGGGAGGAAGGCGUUAAGGUUAAUAACCUUGGCGAUUGACGUUACCCGCAGAAGAAGCACCGGCUAACUCCGUGCCAGCAGCCGCGGUAAUACGGAGGGUGCAAGCGUUAAUCGGAAUUACUGGGCGUAAAGCGCACGCAGGCGGUCUGUCAAGUCGGAUGUGAAAUCCCCGGGCUCAACCUGGGAACUGCAUUCGAAACUGGCAGGCUAGAGUCUUGUAGAGGGGGGUAGAAUUCCAGGUGUAGCGGUGAAAUGCGUAGAGAUCUGGAGGAAUACCGGUGGCGAAGGCGGCCCCCUGGACAAAGACUGACGCUCAGGUGCGAAAGCGUGGGGAGCAAACAGGAUUAGAUACCCUGGUAGUCCACGCCGUAAACGAUGUCGAUUUGGAGGUUGUGCCCUUGAGGCGUGGCUUCCGGAGCUAACGCGUUAAAUCGACCGCCUGGGGAGUACGGCCGCAAGGUUAAAACUCAAAUGAAUUGACGGGGGCCCGCACAAGCGGUGGAGCAUGUGGUUUAAUUCGAUGCAACGCGAAGAACCUUACCUGGUCUUGACAUCCACAGAACUUUCCAGAGAUGGAUUGGUGCCUUCGGGAACUGUGAGACAGGUGCUGCAUGGCUGUCGUCAGCUCGUGUUGUGAAAUGUUGGGUUAAGUCCCGCAACGAGCGCAACCCUUAUCCU
rnacentral:rRNA from 1 species